GGGGUUGUAGCCAAGCCCGGUUAAAGGCAGCUGAUUCCAGACCAGCGACUUGAAGGUUCGAAUCCUUCCAACCCCA
rnacentral:tRNA from 2 species